rnacentral:rRNA from 1 species
CGUGCUAAUCUGCGAAAAGCGCCGGUAAGGUGAUAUGAACCGUUAUAACCGGCGAUGUCCGAAUGGGGAAACCCAGUGUGACUCGUCACACUAUCAUUAACUGAAUCCAUAGGUUAAUGAGGCGAACCGGGGGAACUGAAACAUCUAAGUACCCCGAGGAAAAGAAAUCAACCGAGAUUCCCCCAGUAGCGGCGAGCGAACGGGGAGGAGCCCAGAGCCUGAAUCAGCAUGUGUGUUAGUGGAAGCGUCUGGAAAGGCGCGCGAUACAGGGUGACAGCCCCGUACACAAAAGCGCAUAUGCUGUGAGCUCGAUGAGUAGGGCGGGACACGUGGUAUCCUGUCUGAAUAUGGGGGGACCAUCCUCCAAGGCUAAAUACUCCUGACUGACCGAUAGUGAACCAGUACCGUGAGGGAAAGGCGAAAAGAACCCCGGCGAGGGGAGUGAAACAGAACCUGAAACCGUGUACGUACAAGCAGUGGGAGCCCCACCACUAAGCCAGUGGUGAACUCCACAUACGCAUCCUUUGCGGAAGAUGCGGUUAACGGAGCGAAAGCGACGUUCAACCUCAGAAGAAGCAGAGGGGGCUUAGUGGUGGGGUGACUGCGUACCUUUUGUAUAAUGGGUCAGCGACUUAUAUUCUGUAGCAAGGUUAACCGCAUAGGGGAGCCGAAGGGAAACCGAGUCUUAAUUGGGCGUUAAGUUGCAGGGUAUAGACCCGAAACCCGGUGAUCUAGCCAUGGGCAGGUUGAAGGUUGGGUAACACUAACUGGAGGACCGAACCGACUAAUGUUGAAAAAUUAGCGGAUGACCUGUGGCUGGGGGUGAAAGGCCAAUCAAACCGGGAGAUAGCUGGUUCUCCCCGAAAGCU